rnacentral:lncRNA from 7 species
AAAUCACCUAUCUGUAUUUGAUUAUGAAGGCAUGAAGCGAAAGAGACAAGUUUUUUUUUUUGGGUAUAACGAGGAGUGAAGACUGAACUUAUUUAAAAUGUCUUCCGUAUUUAGCUCCUCUGUUUAUCGUUCGGCUUGGCCUUGGCUGUGUCUGUUCGGAGAGGAGGCUCCAGCUCACGCUCAUCUUCAGCCUGUUGUGCAGGUUGGAUUUGGAGCUGAGAUAAUGGCGGUGGGGAUUCCCCUCUGAGAUGAGAUGAGAUUGAGGUGUAGUAAUGAUAAGGGCAUCUCGCUCGGCUCUGCCUGCGGCUGCGGGGAUGCUUCGUGUAAGCUCAUGACGGUGUGCUUUGGCUGUACGAGUGUUAUUUUUUCUCACUUUCUUUUUUUUCUUUUUUUUCUUCUUCUUUUGGAGGAGGCUGUGUGAUCAAAUGAUGAUGGAUCAUGUGAGUACCGUGUGUCGUCUUUUUCUCCGCGUACGAUGUCUCUAUCCUGUGACUCUAUAGCAUUUACUCUCACUCUCUCUCUGACAGACUGCUUUUUUGUGUCGUGUUGGAGCGAAAGAACAACAGAAAGCCAGCGAAAACAAAGCGAACCUGUUCCUUCUUCUGUGGGCUAGCCGGCUAGGCCUAGGCAACUGGCCUAUAUACGUAUUAUUAUUAUUAUGCAAGUUCAUUUUCAAGUGUGUUGAGAAGCACAAGUGUUACCUUCAAAACUAGGCCAUAAAUAAUAUGGCAGUUCUUAGGUAGCAGAACCACAUCGUAGAAAUCUUCUCUUCAAAACAAGCAGAGCUACAUCCGGCAGACGCCAGACAGGCAGGCUUCCCAGCGUAUGCCGGUCGUUGUCUGGGACAGGAUUUCGUCCGGGUCCGGCUACGUGUUUCGGGGGGAAAAGACGGGUGCUUUUACCCCCGAU